AGGUGCCAGGUCCAGUGGUGGGAGUGCUUUGGGACAUCACCAUCAUGGCCUAGACUCUGCUUAUCCUCAAACUCCUCAAUCAGGGUACAGGUGU
rnacentral:pre_miRNA from 1 species